rnacentral:rRNA from 1 species
GACUGAGACACGGCCCAGACUCCUACGGGAGGCAGCAGUGGGGAAUAUUGCACAAUGGGCGCAAGCCUGAUGCAGCGACGCCGCGUGAGGGAUGACGGCCUUCGGGUUGUAAACCUCUUUCAGUAGGGAAGAAGCUUUCGGGUGACGGUACCUGCAGAAGAAGCGCCGGCUAACUACGUGCCAGCAGCCGCGGUAAUACGUAGGGCGCGAGCGUUAUCCGGAAUUAUUGGGCGUAAAGAGCUCGUAGGCGGUUUGUCGCGUCUGCCGUGAAAGUCCGGGGCUUAACCCCGGAUCUGCGGUGGGUACGGGCAGACUAGAGUGCAGUAGGGGAGACCGGAAUUCCUGGUGUAGCGGUGAAAUGCGCAGAUAUCAGGAGGAACACCGAUGGCGAAGGCAGGUCUCUGGGCUGUUACUGACGCUGAGGAGCGAAAGCAUGGGGAGCGAACAGGAUUAGAUACCCUGGUAGUCCAUGCCGUAAACGUUGGGCACUAGGUGUGGGGGACAUUCCACGUUUUCCGCGCCGCAGCUAACGCAUUAAGUGCCCCGCCUGGGGAGUACGGCCGCAAGGCUAAAACUCAAAGGAAUUGACGGGGGCCCGCACAAGCGGCGGAGCAUGCGGAUUAAUUCGAUGCAACGCGAAGAACCUUACCAAGGCUUGACAUGUUCCCGACCGGGCCAGAGAUGGUCUUUCCCCUUUGGGGCGGGUUCACAGGUGGUGCAUGGUUGUCGUCAGCUCGUGUCGUGAGAUGUUGGGUUAAGUCCCGCAACGAGCGCAACCCUCGUUCCAUGUUGCCAGCGGGUUAUGCCGGGGACUCAUGGGAGACUGCCGGGGUCAACUCGGAGGAAGGUGGGGACGACGUCAAAUCAUCAUGCCCCUUAUGUCUUGGGCUUCACGCAUGCUACAAUGGCCGGUACAAUGGGUUGCGAUACUGUGAGGUGGAGCUAAUCCCAAAAAGCCGGUCUCAGUUCGGAUUGGGGUCUGCAACUCGACCCCAUGAAGUCGGAGUCGCUAGUAAUCGCAGAUCAGCAACGCUGCGGUGAAUACGUUCCCGGGCCUUGUACACACCGCCCGUCAAGUCACGAAAGUCGGU